GGUAGCUCAAGAGAAGGUUGACG
rnacentral:miRNA from 1 species